CCAAGCUGUAGACAAUUGCCUAGGUUGCAUUGUACCUAAGCAAGCAUUACACUGCUUGGAGAAAAGCAACUGAAAGCUGAUAGGCAUU
rnacentral:snoRNA from 1 species